GACGAACGCUGGCGGCGUGCUUAACACAUGCAAGUCGAGCGAGGCCCGCUCUUCGGGGUGGUGCCCUAGCGGCGAACGGGUGAGUAACACGUGGGCAACCUGCCCUCAGCUCUGGGAUAACUCCAAGAAAUUGGUGCUAAUACCGGAUGUGACUGCUGACCGCAUGGUCUGGUGGUGGAAAGAUUUAUCGGCUGAGGAUGGGCCCGCGGCCUAUCAGCUGUUGGUGGGGUGAUGGCCUACCAAGGCGACGACGGGUAGCCGGCCUGAGAGGGUGACCGGCCACACUGGGACUGAGACACGGCCCAGACUCCUACGGGAGGCAGCAGUGGGGAAUAUUGCGCAAUGGGCGGAAGCCUGACGCAGCGACGCCGCGUGGGGGAUGACGG
rnacentral:rRNA from 1 species